rnacentral:pre_miRNA from 1 species
AACUUUUUAACUUCGAGCCAGCCUGUGAGAUGGGUUAUCUCAAAGUGGACUUUCUCUCUGUCUUGGCUUGAACUCUACUUUGACAUAGCCCACUUCAAAGGUAACUUGAAUACACUCAAAA